rnacentral:rRNA from 1 species
AUUGAACGCUGGCGGCAUGCUUUACACAUGCAAGUCGAACGGUAACAGGCCUUCGGGUGCUGACGAGUGGCGAACGGGUGAGUAAUGCAUCGGAACGUGCCCAGAGGUGGGGGAUAACGCAGCGAAAGCUGUGCUAAUACCGCAUGUGAUCUGAGGAUGAAAGCGGGGGACCAGGCAGCAAUGUUUGGCCUCGCGCCUUUGGAGCGGCCGAUGUCAGAUUAGGUAGUUGGUGGGGUAAAGGCCUACCAAGCCGACGAUCUGUAGCUGGUCUGAGAGGACGACCAGCCACACUGGGACUGAGACACGGCCCAGACUCCUACGGGAGGCAGCAGUGGGGAAUUUUGGACAUUGGGCGCAAGCCUGAUCCAGCAAUGCCGCGUGCGGGAAGAAGGCCUUCGGGUUGUAAACCGCUUUUGUACGGAACGAAAAGGCUCUGGCUAAUACCUGGGGCUGAUGACGGUACCGUAAGAAUAAGCACCGGCUAACUACGUG